rfam:Oryza sativa Japonica Group DNA, chromosome 4, cultivar: Nipponbare, complete sequence.
AGAACGGGAUGCAGCCAAGGAUGACUUGCCGGCUCCUGGUAUUGGGGGAAUCUCAGCUUUGCUGAAGCGCCUUGGAGUUAGCCGGCAAGUCUGUCCUUGGCUACACCUAGCUCUCU